CUGCAACCGGGAGAACCCGCGACGGAGCGCUGCCGGCUUCCCUGCUGACAGACAGGUGUCUGCCAUGGCUGAAGAAUCUCCCAAAAAUUCUGCAGCGGAAAUUCCAGUAACUAGUAAUGGGGAAGUUGGUGAUGCCCACGAACAUGGCUAUAAUAGGGAUUUGAAGCAUUCAUUACCAUCUGGACUUGGACUCUCAGAAACUCAAAUUACAUCUCAUGGCUUUGACAGUACCAAAGAGGGGGUUACUGAAGCAGGAGCAUCCCAAGGUGGCCAAAGAACACACACAAAAGGUGGACCAGUUAUUUUAGCAGAUGAAAUUAAAAAUCCUGCAAUGGAGAAGUUAGAACUUGUUAGAAAAUGGAGUCUCAACACAUAUAAGUGUACUCGGCAAAUUAUAUCUGAGAAACUAGGCCGUGGCUCAAGAACCGUGGACCUUGAACUUGAAGCUCAGAUUGACAUAUUAAGAGAUAAU
rnacentral:lncRNA from 1 species